rnacentral:rRNA from 1 species
UGGGGAAUUUUGGACAAUGGGCGAAAGCCUGAUCCAGCAAUGCCGCGUGUGUGAAGAAGGCCUUCGGGUUGUAAAGCACUUUUGUCCGGAAAGAAAUCCUUGGCUCUAAUACAGUCGGGGGAUGACGGUACCGGAAGAAUAAGCACCGGCUAACUACGUGCCAGCAGCCGCGGUAAUACGUAGGGUGCAAGCGUUAAUCGGAAUUACUGGGCGUAAAGCGUGCGCAGGCGGUUUGCUAAGACCGAUGUGAAAUCCCCGGGCUCACCUGGAACUGCAUGGUGACUGGCAGGCUAGAGUAUGGCAGAGGGGGUGAGAAUUCCACGUGUAGCAGUGAAAUGCGUAGAGAUGUGGAGGAAUACCGAUGGCGAAGGCAGCCCCCUGGCCAAGUACUGACGCUCAUGCACGAAAGCGUGGGGAGCAAACAGGAUUAGAUACCCUGGUAGUCCACGCCCUAAACGAUGUCAACUAGUUGUUGGGGAUUCAUUUCCUUAGUAACGUAGCUAACGCGUGAAGUUGACCGCCUGGGGAGUACGGUCGCAAGAUUAAAACUCAAAGGAAUU